rnacentral:rRNA from 1 species
GACGAACCGUGCGAACGUUGUUCGGAAUCACUGGGCUUAAAGGGCGCGUAGGCGGGUUCGCAAGUCAGGGGUGAAAUCUUUCAGCUUAACUGGAAAACAGCCCCUGAUACUGCGAGUCUCGAGGGAGGUAGGGGCAUGUGGAACUUCCGGUGGAGCGGUGAAAUGCGUAGAUAUCGUAAGGAAGACCAGUGGCGAAGGCGGGUCUCUGGACAGUUCCUGACGCUGAGGCACGAAGGUCAGGGGAGCAAACGGG